ACAUCGGUGGUGUAGUGGUAGCACGCACCUCCGGUAUGGAUGAAACGCGGGUUCGACUCCUGUCUGAAGUC